rnacentral:rRNA from 1 species
AUUGAACGCUGGCGGCAGGCCUAACACAUGCAAGUCGAACGAGUGGCGGACGGGUGAGUAAUGUCUGGGAAACUGCCCGAUGGAGGGGGAUAACUACUGGAAACGGUAGCUAAUACCGCAUACCAUCGGAUGUGCCCAGAUGGGAGUAGCUAGUAGGUGGGGUAACGGUUCACAUAGGCGACGAUCCCUAGCUGGUCUGAGAGGAUGACCAGCCAAACUUGAAUUGAGACACGGUCAAGAUUCCGACGGUAGGAAGCAGUGGUGAAUAUUGGACAAUGGGCGCAAGCCUGAUGCAGCACUGCCGCGUGUAUGAAGAAGGCCUUCGGGUUGUAAAGUACUUUCAGCGAGGAGGCGUUCCUCGCAGAAGAAGCACCGGCUAACUCCGUGACAGACGCAGCGGUAAUUC